CCCGGACAUUGUUUGGUGGGUAGUUUGACUGGGGUGGUCGCCUCCAAAAGAGUAACGGAGGCUUUCCAAGGUUCCCUCACGACGGUCGGCAAUCGUCGGAAGAGCGCAAUGGCAUAAGGGAGCCUGACUGCGAGAGAGACAUCUCGACCAGGCACGAAAGUGGGACAUAGUGAUCCGGUGGUACCGCAUGGAAGGGCCAUCGCUCAAAGGAUAAAAGGUACUCUGGGGAUAACAGGCUGAUCUCCCCCAAGAGCUCAUAUCGACGGGGAGGUUUGGCACCUCGAUGUCGGCUCGUCACGUCCUGGGGCUGGAGAAGGUCCCAAGGGUUGGGCUGUUCGCCCAUUAAAGUGGCACGCGAGCUGGGUUCAGAACGUCGUGAGACAGUUCGGUCUCUAUCUGUUGCGGGCGUUGGAAAUUUGAGAGGCUCUGACUUUAGUACGAGAGGACCGAGUUGGACACACCUCUGGCGUACCGGUUGUUCCGCCAGGAGCAUCGCCGGGUACCUAUGUGUGGAGCGGAUAAGCGCUGAAAGCAUCUAAGCGCGAAACCCACCUCGAGAUGAGAUUUCCUUAUGAGGGUUGUUAUAGAUGAUGACGUUGAUAGGCUUCAAGUGUAAGUUCAGAGAUGGAUUAAGCUGAGAAGUACUAAUCGCCCGAAAGCUUUUCUUC
rnacentral:rRNA from 1 species